UGCCUUUAAGUGUUGCCUGUUCAUCGUUGAUCAGAUGAAUGCGGUGUCAUCUAAGGCAUACAGUAAUACAUAAGAUGGCUGCUGGAGGGUGUUUCCCUGAACCUUCCAGAAGGUCUAUGUUAUGGACAUGA